rnacentral:rRNA from 1 species
GAUGAACGCUGGCGGCGUGCCUAAUACAUGCAAGUCGAGCGAAUGGAUUAAGAGCUUGCUCUUAUGAAGUUAGCGGCGGACGGGUGAGUAACACGUGGGUAACCUGCCCAUAAGACUGGGAUAACUCCGGGAAACCGGGGCUAAUACCGGAUAACAUUUUGAACCGCAUGGUUCGAAAUUGAAAGGCGGCUUCGGCUGUCACUUAUGGAUGGACCCGCGUCGCAUUAGCUAGUUGGUGAGGUAACGGCUCACCAAGGCAACGAUGCGUAGCCGACCUGGGAGGGUAGACGGCCACACUGGGACUGAGACACGGCCAAGACUCCUACGGGAGGCAGCAGUAGGGAAUCUUCCGCAAUGGACGAAAGUCUGACGGAGCAACGCCGCGUGAGUGAUGAAGGCUUUCGGGUCGUAAAACUCUGUUGUUAGGGAAGAACAAGUGCUAGUUGAAUAAGCUGACACCUUGACGGUACCUAACCAGAAAGCCACGGCUAACUACGUGCCAGCAGCCGCCGUAA